rnacentral:rRNA from 1 species
UACGAAGGGGGCUAGCGUUGUUCGGAAUUACUGGGCGUAAAGCGCACGUAGGCGGAUAUUUAAGUCAGGGGUGAAAUCCCGGAGCUCAACUCCGGAACUGCCUUUGAUACUGGCAAUCUAGAGUCCGGAAGAGGUGAGUGGAACUCCUAGUGUAGAGGUGGAAUUCGUAGAUAUUAGGAAGAACACCAGUGGCGAAGGCGGCUCACUGGUCCGGUACUGACGCUGAGGAGCGAAAGCGUGGGGAGCGAACAGG